rnacentral:tRNA from 1 species
GCCUGGGUGGCUCAGUCGGUUAAGUGCCUGACUUUGGCUCAGGUCAUGAUCUCAUGGUUUGUGGGUUAGAGCCCCUCGUUGGGCU